rnacentral:misc_RNA from 1 species
UCCUGGUUAACCCAGGCAGUCUCAUUAGAGUUCCCACCUUAAAUGUUGGCAACUAAUGAUAAGGGUUGCGCUCGUUGCGGGACUUAACCCAACACCUCACGGCACGAGCUGACGACAGCCAUGCAGCACCUGUGCACAGGCCCCGAAGGGCGAUAACAUCUCUGCUAUCUUCCUGUGCAUGUCAAAUCUGGGUAAGGUUCUUCGCGUUGCAUCGAAUUAAACCACAUGCUCCACUGCUUGUGCGGGUCCCCGUCAAUUCUUUUGAGUUUCAGCCUUGCGACUGUACUCCCCAGGCGGUAUACUUAUCGCGUUAGCUUCGGCACAACCAGGGUUGAGUCCGGUUACACCAAGUAUACAUCGUUUACAGCUAGGACUAC